AGAUUGAACGCUGGCGGCACGCCUAACACAUGCAAGUCGAACGGGAGUAGCAAUACUCUAGUGGCGGACGGGUGAGGAAUACGUAGGAAUUUGCCCUUAAGUGGGGGAUAACCCGGGGAAACCCGGAUUAAUACCGCAUGACCUCGAAAGAGCAAAGUGGGGGAUCGCAAGACCUCACGCUUUUGGAGAAGCCUACGUCGGAUUAGCUAGUUGGUGAGGUAAUGGCUCACCAAGGCGACGAUCCGUAACUGGUCUGAGAGGAUGAUCAGUCACACCGGAACUGAGACACGGUCCGGACUCCUACGGGAGGCAGCAGUGGGGAAUAUUGGACAAUGGGCGCAAGCCUGAUCCAGCAAUGCCGCGUGUGUGAAGAGGGCCUUGGUUGUAAGUACAC
rnacentral:rRNA from 1 species